rnacentral:rRNA from 1 species
GAUGAACGCUGGCGGCGUGCCUAAUACAUGCAAGUCGAGCGAACAGAUGAGGAGCUUGCUCCUCUGACGUUAGCGGCGGACGGGUGAGUAACACGUGGAUAACCUACCUAUAAGACUGGGAUAACUUCGGGAAACCGGAGCUAAUACCGGAUAAUAUAUUGAACCGCAUGGUUCAAUAGUGAAAGACGGUUUUGCUGUCUCUUAUAGAUGGAUCCGCGCCGCAUUAGCUAGUUGGUAAGGUAACGGCUUACCAAGGCAACGAUGCGUAGCCGACCUGAGAGGCUGAUCGGCCACACUGGAACUGGGACACGGUCCAGACUCCUACGGGAGGCAGCAGUAGGGAAUCUUCCGCAAUGGGCGAAAGCCUGACGGAGCAACGCCGCGUGAGUGAUGAAGGUCUUCGGAUCGUAAAACUCUGUUAUUAGGGAAGAACAAAUGUGUAAGUAACUAUGCACGUCUUGACGGUACCUAAUCAGAAAGCCACGGCUAACUACGUG